GCGGAGAUGGCGGAAUUGGAAUACGCGUAUGCUUCAGGAGCAUAUGGGCUUUGAGCCCUUGGGGGUUCAACUCCCCCUCUCCGCACCA
rnacentral:tRNA from 1 species